CUUGAUGUUGUGAGGAACUUCGGAAACUGGCGUCGAAGGCGGGACACUUUCCACUUUCUUGCUGGUUAAGUUAUAGACUUUCAAGCAGUCUUCGGCAGCAAAGCAUAUUUUGAAACUCACCGAGAGCAGAAAGGAAAGGCAGACUAGGGAGUGGCGUGGAACAGCCAUCGUGGAUCACAACUAUUUCCAAACUAAAACCAAUGAGAACCAAUGGGUUUUUAUAUACUUGCAUUAGGUCUGAGGUUGAUUCCCUAAAGUGGAGCCUAAAAGUAUGUUGACAUUCAUCGAGACUUAUUUUAGAAAAAUUUAAAAGUAAAUAGUAGAAAAUCAUGAAUAGUAUUUGCUCCAAAAGAGCUAACUAGGCGUAUACUUAAUUUUAUCAUAUAUGCCAAGAAUAAGUCUGACAUUAUUUAUUAUUAAUUAUUUAAUGAUGAGGUCUAGGUCUAUGUCAAAGGUCAAGGAAACUUUGAUAUCCAACGAUUUAUUUGUCCCAAUAAUAAGCAAUUAAUUAAUUAAUUGAAUAAGCAAUCAAAACAACCUUAACAUUUACAUUUUGAAUGUUCUCCAUUUAUUUAUUGAGAUAGAAAUUAUACAAUGUUUUUGGCUUUCAUAAUCCGAGCAUUUUGUAACAAAAAAAAAUACAUGUAGCCUAUCAACUGUACUGGCUUUUAUCCAUACAAUGCGUAAUAUUAAUAUGUAUUUCAAUUUUAUUAAUAUAUUUAUUCAGUUUUUGCAUCUUCCGCCCAACAGGCACUCGCAAACUGCAUCGAAUAUCACGUUUCACAAAUGAUAUUUUCGACAAAAAAAAAAAAAAGAAUUAUAAUUAAGUGUUAUAAUAGAGUGAAUAUAUCGUCAUGUUUCACUAAUGUUUCUGGGGGUCCG